AGGAUCUCAGAAGUUAAUUCACUGAUUGCUGAAUCUAUCCGCAUCUGGAGUGACACUGCUGCUAAACGAUAUGCGGAGGCGAAAUACUGCUAUGCCUGAAGUUCGCACUUACAUGUGUGAGACACAUCAUCGCUUCAUGCAUCAUGGCUAGACCGUUCCAGCAUAAAAAUAGAAGGAAAAGGAGAAACUAAUUGCAAGAGGCAGCAUCAGGAGAAGCAGCAUCCUCCUUUCUGAAAAUGGAGAAUUUUAAGUUCUCCCUCCUUCUGUGUGAUUACUCAUUUGGAGAACAGGUGUUUGCUAUGGACUGGGCAGCCUUCCAGCUGUGUGACAUUACUGACAUGCCCUAAUCAUCACCCAGAUCUGCCUACGGUUUCUGCCUACAUGCUUGAAAUGCUCAUUUUGUCAGUUUUUGCAUCAACAAGAGGCUGGAGUCUGUGUGAAAAUGAGAUGAGUGCACUGCUAUAUCAAACAAGGCUUGCCAUUUUCUUCAUUCAGAAGGCUUUCAGUUGAGUUAGCAAUGCCAACAAGGGGCUCCCUGGACUCAGGGAUCAAGUUGCAAUGUGAAGGUCCAGCUGACCCAGGAGAAAGAAGUCUUAAGAAUUUGUCCUUCAUCCAACUAUUGCAAAAACAAAGUGAAGAACUCAACUCAUGCAAAUUAGAAGACUGAGCAGACAGAGGUCCAGAUUCCAUACGUACACACUGUGCCAGAGCUCUGUUGGAGAAACUGGUAGGGAAAGAGCCGAAAAAAGGUAUUGCUCUAAUUUCCAAUCUGCAAAAGUGAAGUGCAGACAGACAAAGCUCUUUUCCCGGUAUUACAGAAGUCUGCAGGAGAAGCAGGAGUUUAAGCUCCUGCCUCCCAGCUGAAGCCGAUCUACAAGACUGUAUUUAUUCUAUAAUCUGUUUUUAUGCUCUUAUCUAUUUAAUCUUCCUCUCGCACCAGUUUUUAUAAGUAUGUCUCCACAGAGAACCUCCAGCACAAGAAAUAUUUCUGCAGAUGAACCCUGAUGUUUUAUAGUAACGCUGUAUAAUCACUGCGUGGGAGGCACUCGGAGUUAAAAUAGUGCAAAAUGCCGUUAGGGGUAAAUCGCUUCAGUGCAGGGAAGUCAGGUUAGCUAUCUGCUUAUUGCUGCCUUUUCAUCCUUCGCAGUCAGCAGCAGUGGCUCUUUCAGCAUUACAUAAUGUUACAUAUGUUGAGCCAGAUUGCGGGCUUCUGCCCGGGGAGCAGCAAGCACUGCCCCCUCAGUGGGAGUCAGAGGAAAGCCCUCAGGAGUCCCGCUUGGGAUUUUCCAAUGCUGCUCUGUGGGCAUGAGGAACUUUGGCCUGCUCUCUGUGCCUAGAUGCACACAUGCACCACCUCCUCCCAUAGUGUGCCUCUCCUCUCCAUUUUUCCCUUUAUUCCUUUCUGAAUAGAGGGGAUCAGUUUCAGCUGCUGGCUGGCAGGAGGGGAUGCAUGAACAGCACCGUGCCCUGCAGCCAUCCCUCACAUUUGCUGCGGGAAAAUGCACUGUGGGGGAUGUUAUUCCAUGGCUUACAGCUGCAGUAAGGAAAUACACUAAAAUUAAAGGCCAGGCAUGGGAUUGAUGGAUUUGGUCCUGUGCGACUCACUCGCUCUGUCAGUGAGCAUACCAGUUACUUCACGGGUUAUUUGUUUAAGCUGAAGAUUCCACUUCUGCUUAAUUGCACUGUAUGUGCACCUCAAAAACGGCUGCAGUUCCAAAUUUAUAAAACAGCACUAUACAGAAUAUAGGCCUAUCAAUUUCACAGUCUAGUUUCUGAUUAGAUUUUACAGCACCUCUGACGAACUGCAUAGAUUUUCCCCAUUAAAAAUGAUGACAAUUCAGUUCUGUCAUUUUAAGUGGAAUUAAAUCCAGCAUUGCCAAGAAUGAUAAUAUCCUUAAAAAAAAAAAAAAAAAUAAAAAAUCAACAACCCACGUACA
ensembl:lncRNA